GUCCACGCAGUAAACUGUGAACACUAGGUGUAGCGGGUAUUGACCCCUGCUGUGCCGAAGCUAACGCAUUAAGUGUUCCGCCUGGGAAGUACGGUCGCAAGGCUAAAACUCAAAGGAAUUGACGGGGGCCCCGCACAAGCGGUGGAGCAUGUGGUUUAAUUCGACGCAACGCGAAGAACCUUACCUGGGUUUGACAUCCCGGGAAUCCCCUGGAAACAGGGGAGUGCCCUUCGGGGAGCCCGGAGACAGGUGCUGCAUGGCUGUCGU
rnacentral:rRNA from 1 species